AUUGAACGCUGGCGGCAGGCCUAACACAUGCAAGUCGAAUGGUAACAGGAAACAGCUUGCUGUUUCGCUGACGAGUGGCGGACGGGUGAGUAAUGUCUGGGAAACUGCCUGAUGGAGGGGGAUAACUACUGGAAACGGUAGCUAAUACCGCAUAACGUCGCAAGACCAAAGAGGGGGACCUUCGGGCCUCUUGCCAUCAGAUGUGCCCAGAUGGGAUUAGCUAGUAGGUGGGGUAACGGCUCACCUAGGCGACGAUCCCUAGCUGGUCUGAGAGGAUGACCAGCCACACUGGAACGUAGACACGGUCCAGACUCCUACGGGAGGCAGCAGUGGGGAAUAUUGCACAAUGGGCGCAAGCCUGAUGCUGCCAUGCCGCGUGUAUGAAGAAGGCCUUCGGGUUGUAAAGUACUUUCAGCGGGGAGGAAGGGAGUAAAGUUAAUACCUUUGCUCAUUGACGUUACCCGCAGAAGAAGCACCGGCUAACUCCGUG
rnacentral:rRNA from 1 species